UCAGUGGCUGUCCAGGCCUUUCAGAGCCACUCACACACCAGCAGCACAAUGAUGAUGUCACUGACUCUACUGCUGGCCACCCUGGGGCUCCUUGUUCAGGGUUCAUCAGGAGAACAAGUGCUGACUCAGUCUCCUGGAUCUCAGUCUGUUGUUCUUGGACAGACUGUCUCUGUCAGAUGUAAAGCCAGUUCAAGUGUUGGCAGCUGCCUCAACUGGUACCUUCAAAAGGACGGAGAAUCUCCCAAACUCUUAAUUUAUUCUGCUAGCAACCGUCAGUCUGGAGUUUCUGAUCGUUUCAGUGGACGUGGAUCUGGGACUGACUUCACUCUGACUAUCAGCAGAGUUCAGGCUGAAGAUGCAGGAGUUUAUUACUGUCAGCAGUGUAACAGCUUCCCGUUCACACAGUGAUACAACGCUGUACAAAAACCUCACACAUCUGGAGAGGAACUGAGAAUAAAGAUCAUCUGAACUGUCAGCUGCUGAG